UACGUAGGGCGCGAGCGUUGUCCGGAUUUAUUGGGCGUAAAGAGCUCGUAGGCGGCUUGUUGCGUCGACUGUGAAAACCCGCGGCUUAACCGCGGGCUUGCAGUUGAUACUGGCAGGCUAGAGUUCGGUAGGGGAGACUGGAAUUCCUGGUGUAGCGGUGAAAUGCGCAGAUAUCAGGAGGAACACCGGUGGCGAAGGCGGGUCUCUGGGCCGAUACUGACGCUGAGGAGCGAAAGCGUGGGGAGCGAACAGG
rnacentral:rRNA from 1 species